rnacentral:rRNA from 1 species
UACGGAGGGGGCUAGCGUUGUUCGGAAUUACUGGGCGUAAAGCGGGUGUAGGCGGAUCACUAAGUCGGGGGUGAAAGCCCGGGGCUCAACCUCGGAACUGCCUUCGAUACUGGUGAUCUCGAGAAUGGGAGAGGUGAGCGGAAUUCCGAGUGUAGAGGUGAAAUUCGUAGAUAUUCGGAGGAACACCAGAGGCGAAGGCGGCUCACUGGACCAUUUCUGACGCUGAGACCCGAAAGCGUGGGGAGCAAACAGG